rnacentral:rRNA from 1 species
UACAGAGGGUGCAAGCGUUGUUCGGAAUUAUUGGGCGUAAAGCGCGUGUAGGCGGCUUGGUAAGUCGGGUGUGAAAUCCCUUCAGCUACAACUGAGGAAGUGCGCCCGAAAACUACUUUGCUUGAGUGCCGGAGAGGAUGGCGGAAUUCCCCGAAGUAGAGGUGAAAUGCGUAGAGAUCGGGAAGGAACAUCAGUGGCGAAGGCGGCCAUCUGGGACAACACUGACGCUGAGGCACGGAAAGCGUGGGGAGCAAACAGG